rnacentral:rRNA from 1 species
AACGAACGCUGGCGGCAUGCCUAACACAUGCAAGUCGAACGAGACCUUCGGGUCUAGUGGCGCACGGGUGCGUAACGCGUGGGAACCUGCCCUUAGGUUCGGAAUAACUCCCCGGAAGGGGUGCUAAUACCGGAUAAUGUCUUCGGACCAAAGAUUUAUCGCCUUUGGAUGGGCCCGCGUUGUAUUAGCUAGUUGGUAGGGUAAAGGCCUACCAAGGCGACGAUCCAUAGCGGGUCUGAGAGGAUGAUCAGCCACACUGGGACUGAGACGCGGCCCAGACUCCUGCGGGAGGCAGCAGUAGGGAAUAUUGGACAAUGGGCGAAAGCCUGAUCCAGCAAUGCCGCGUGAGUGAUGAAGGCCUUAGGGUUGUAAAGCUCUUUUACCCGGGAUGAUAAUGACAGUAUCGGGAGAAUAAGCUCCGGCUAACUCCGUG